GUCCACGCCCUAAACGAUGUCAACUGGUUGUUGGGAGAUUUAUUCUCUUAGUAACGAAGCUAACGCGUGAAGUUGACCGCCUGGGGAGUACGGUCGCAAGAUUAAAACUCAAAGGAAUUGACGGGGGCCCGCACAAGCGGUGGAUGAUGUGGAUUAAUUCGAUGCAACGCGAAAACCUUACCUACGCUUGACAUGUCUGGAAGAUGAGAGAGAUCUUAUUGUGCUCGAAAGAGAACCAGAACACAGGUGCUGCAUGGCUGUCGU
rnacentral:rRNA from 1 species